rnacentral:rRNA from 1 species
GAUGAACGCUGGCGGCGCGCCUAAUACAUGCAAGUCGAGCGAACAGACGAGGAGCUUGCUCCUCUGACGUUAGCGGCGGACGGGUGAGUAACACGUGGAUAACCUACCUAUAAGACUGGGAUAACUUCGGGAAACCGGAGCUAAUACCGGAUAAUAUAUUGAACCGCAUGGUUCAAUAGUGAAAGACGGUUUUGCUGUCACUUAUAGAUGGAUCCGCGCCGCAUUAGCUAGUUGGUAAGGUAACGGCUUACCAAGGCAACGAUGCGUAGCCGACCUGAGAGGGAGAUGGGCCACAGGGGAAAGAAAACCGGCUCAAGCCCACGAGGGGAGGAAGAAGAAGGAAAUCGCCGAAAGUGGGGGAAAGCCUGACGGACAAGGGAGGGGGGAUGAAGAAGGGUGUGCGAAAAGAAAAACUGGGUUAUGGGGAAAAAAAAAAUGUGAAAGAAAAAAUGCACGUCUUGAGGGUACAUAAUAAAAAAGCCAGGGAAAACUAGGUG